UGGGGAAUCUUGCGCAAUGGGGGCAACCCUGACGCAGCCAUGCCGCGUGAACGAUGAAGGCCUUAGGGUUGUAAAGUUCUUUUACCCGUGACGAUGAUGACGGUAACGGGGGAAUAAGCUCCGGCUAACUUCGUGCCAGCAGCCGCGGUAAUACGAAGGGGGCUAGCGUUGUUCGGAAUUACUGGGCGUAAAGCGCGCGCAGGCGGUUCGAUAAGUUGGGGGUGAAAUCCCCGGGCUCAACCCGGGAAUGGCCUUCAAGACUGUCGAGCUAGAGGACGAGAGAGGUGAGUGGAAUUCCCAGUGUAGAGGUGAAAUUCGUAGAUAUUGGGAAGAACACCGGUGGCGAAGGCGGCUCACUGGCUCGUUUCUGACGCUGAGGCGCGAAAGCGUGGGGAGCAAACA
rnacentral:rRNA from 1 species